rnacentral:rRNA from 1 species
UGGGGAAUAUUGCACAAUGGGCGCAAGCCUGAUGCAGCCAUGCCGCGUGUAUGAAGAAGGCCUUCGGGUUGUAAAGUACUUUCAGCGGGGAGGAAGGGAGUAAAGUUAACACCUUUGCUCAUUGACGUUACCCGCAGAAGAAGCACCGGCUAACUCCGUGCCAGCAGCCGCGGUAAUACGGAGGGUGCAAGCGUUAAUCGGAAUUACUGGGCGUAAAGCGCACGCAGGCGGUUUGUUAAGUCAGAUGUGAAAUCCCCGGGCUCAACCUGGGAACUGCAUCUGAUACUGGCAAGCUUGAGUCUCGUAGAGGGGGGUAGAAUUCCAGGUGUAGCGGUGAAAUGCGUAGAGAUCUGGAGGAAUACCGGUGGCGAAGGCGGCCCCCUGGACAAAGACUGACGCUCAGGUGCGAAAGCGUGGGGAGCAAACAGG